GGGGAAUAUUGGGCAAUGGGCGCAAGCCUGACCCAGCAACGCCGCGUGAAGGAAGAAGGCUUUCGGGUUGUAAACUUCUUUUCUCAGGGACGAAGCAAGUGACGGUACCUGAGGAAUAAGCCACGGCUAACUACGUGCCAGCAGCCGCGGUAAUACGUAGGUGGCGAGCGUUAUCCGGAUUUACUGGGUGUAAAGGGCGUGUAGGCGGGACUGCAAGUCAGAUGUGAAAACCAUGGGCUCAACCUGUGGCCUGCAUUUGAAACUGUAGUUCUUGAGUACUGGAGAGGCAGACGGAAUUCCUAGUGUAGCGGUGAAAUGCGUAGAUAUUAGGAGGAACACCAGUGGCGAAGGCGGUCUGCUGGACAGCAACUGACGCUGAGGCGCGAAAGCGUGGGGAGCAAACAGGAUUAGAUACCCUGGUAGUCCACGCUGUAAACGAUGGAUACUAGGUGUGGGGGGUCUGACCCCCUCCGUGCCGCAGUUAACACAAUAAGUAUCCCACCUGGGGAGUACGAUCGCAAGGUUGAAACUCAAAGGAAUUGACGGGGGCCCGCACAAGCGGUGGAGUAUGUGGUUUAAUUCGAAGCAACGCGAAGAACCUUACCAGGGCUUGACAUCCCGGUGACCGGUGUAGAGAUACACCUUCUUCUUCGGAAGCACCGGUGACAGGUGGUGCAUGGUUGUCGUCAGCUCGUGUCGUGAGAUGUUGGGUUAAGUCCCGCAACGAGCGCAACCCUUAUUGUUAGUUGCUACGCAAGAGCACUCUGGCGAGACUGCCGUUGACAAAACGGAGGAAGGUGGGGACGACGUCAAAUCAUCAUGCCCCUUAUGUCCUGGGCCACACACGUACUACAAUGGUGGUCAACAGAGGGAAGCAAGACCGCGAGGUGGAGCAAACCCCUAAAAGCCAUCCCAGUUCGGAUUGCAGGCUGCAACUCGCCUGUAUGAAGUUGGAAUCGCUAGUAAUCGCGGAUCAGCAUGCCGCGGUGAAUACGUUCCCG
rnacentral:rRNA from 1 species